UGAGGGUUGAUAGGUUAAGAGCUAAGCAAUUGGACGUUACCUACAGAAGAAGCACCGGCUAACUCCGUGCCAGCAGCCGCGGUAAUACGAGGGUGCAAGCGUUAAUCGGAAUUACUGGGCGUAAAGAGUGCGUAGGUGGUUAAUUAAGUUAUGUGUGAAAUCCCUGGGCUUAACCUGGGCAGGUCAUAUAAUACUGAUUGACUCGAGUAUGGGAGAGGGUAGUGAAUUUCCGGUGUAGCGGUGAAAUGCGUAGAGAUCGAAGAACACCAGUGGCGAAGGCGGCUACCUGGCCUAAUACUGACACUGAGGCACGAAAGCGUGGGAGCAAACAGGAUUAGAUACCCUGGUAGUCCACGCUGUAAACGAUGUCAACUAGCUGUUGGUUAUAUAAAAUAAUUAGUGGCGCAGCAAACGCGAUAAGUUGAC
rnacentral:rRNA from 1 species